rnacentral:rRNA from 1 species
GACGUAGGGCGCGAGCGUUGUCCGGAUUUAUUGGGCGUAAAGAGCUCGUAGGCGGCUUGUCGCGUCGUGUGUGAAAUCUCAGGGCUCAACUCUGACAUUGCAUACGAUACGGGCAGGCUUGAGUUCGGUAGGGGAGACUGGAAUUCCUGGUGUAGCGGUGAAAUGCGCAGAGUAUCAGGAGGAACACCGGUGGCGAAGGCGGGUCUCUGGGCCGAUACUGACGCUGAGGAGCGAAAGCGUGGGGAGCGAACAGG